UCCAGACUCCUACGGGAGGCAGCAGUGGGGGAUAUUGCACAAUGGGGGAAACCCUGAUGCAGCGACGCCGCGUGGGUGAAGAAGUAUUUCGGUAUGUAAAGCCCUAUCAGCAGGGAAGAAAGAAGACGGUACCUGACUAAGAAGCCCCGGCUAACUACGUGCCAGCAGCCGCGGUAAUACGUAGGGGGCGAGCGUUAUCCGGAUUCACUGGGUGUAAAGGGAGCGUAGACGGCCGUGCAAGCCAGGAGUGAAAGCCCGGGGCCCAACCCCGGGACUGCUCUUGGAACUGUGCGGCUGGAGUGCGGGAGGGGCAGGCGGAAUUCCUGGUGUAGCGGUGAAAUGCGUAGAUAUCAGGAGGAACACCGGCGGCGAAGGCGGCCUGCUGGACCGCGACUGACGUUGAGGCUCGAAAGCGUGGGGAGCGAACAGGAUUAGAUACCCCGGUACC
rnacentral:rRNA from 1 species